GUCUUUUUGAAUAUAAUUUAAAGUUUAAUCUGCCCACUGAUAAAUAUUAAAGGGCUGCAGUAUCAUGACUGUACAAAGGUAGCAUAAUCAUUAGUUUUUUAAUUGAAAACUUGUAUGAAGGAUUUGAUGAAAUAUGAGCUGUCUCUAAUUUAUUUAUAAAAAUUUAUUUUUUAGUUAAAAAGCUAAAAUAAUUUUAAAAGACGAGAAGACCCUAUAGAGUUUUAUAUUUAUUUUUAUUAAAAAAUUAUAUAAAAAUUAAUGUUGAAAUAAAAUAAAGUAUUAUGUUGGGGUGAUAGAAAAAUUAAAUUAACUUUUUUUAAAAAUUAAACAUAAAUAUAUGAUUAAAUGAUCCAUUAAUAAUGAUUAUAAGAAAAAAUUACCUUAGGGAUAACAGCGUAAUAUUUUUUUUUAGUUCAUAUAAAAAAAAAAGUUUGCGACCUCGAUGUUGGAUUAAGAUAAAAUUUAAAUGUAAAAGUUUAAAAUUUUGAUCUGUUCGAUCAUUAAAAUCUU
rnacentral:rRNA from 1 species